CACGUAGGGGGCAAGCGUUGUCCGGAAUUAUUGGGCGUAAAGAGCUCGUAGGCGGUCUGUCGCGUCGGAUGUGAAACCUCGGGGCUCAACCCCGAGCCUGCAUUCGAUACGGGCAGACUAGAGUUCGGUAGGGGAGACUGGAAUUCCUGGUGUAGCGGUGAAAUGCGCAGAUAUCAGGAGGAACACCGGUGGCGAAGGCGGGUCUCUGGGCCGAUACUGACGCUGAGGAGCGAAAGCGUGGGGAGCGAACAGG
rnacentral:rRNA from 1 species